AAUGGAUCGUCCCAAUUAGUCAUCAAGGUGACUAAUUUUACACUUUAUGAAAUCUACCCAAAUAAACCCAUUCCAAAGCAAAGGAAGAAGAAUAUGGGAGAAGAAAACGGUUUUGUAGUACCACCGAGAGAAAGGAAGAAGGUCGAUAGGCCAAGGAAGAAUAAGGAGGAUGGGGACCAAGGGAGUACACUAGUGAAAACGAAGGUUGACAAGCCAAGAAAGGUGGUUGAUGGAGAACAAAGGACUUUUUCUUUUGUAUGUUG
rnacentral:lncRNA from 1 species